rnacentral:rRNA from 1 species
UACGGAGGGGGCGAGCGUUGUUCGGAAUCAUUGGGCGUAAAGGGCGCGUAGGCGGCCGACCAAGUCGGAUGUGAAAUCCCUCGGCUCAACCGAGGAACUGCAUUCGAUACUGGUUGGCUAGAGUCCGGGAGGGGAUAGCGGAAUUCCCAGUGUAGCGGUGAAAUGCGUAGAUAUUGGGAAGAACACCGGUGGCGAAGGCGGCUAUCUGGACCGGAACUGACGCUGAGGCGCGAAAGCCAGGGGAGCGAAUGGG